rnacentral:rRNA from 1 species
CCUACGGGAGACUGCAGUGAGGAAUAUUGGUCAAUGGACGAGAGUCUGAACCAGCCAAGUAGCGUGAAGGAUGACUGCCCUAUGGGUUGUAAACUUCUUUUAUAUGGGAAUAAAACGUUCCACGUGUGGGAUUUUGUAUGUACCAUAUGAAUAAGGAUCGGCUAACUCCGUACCAGCAGCCGCGGUAAUACGGAGGAUCCGAGCGUUAUCCGGAUUUAUUGGGUUUAAAGGGAGCGUAGGUGGAUUGUUAAGUCAGUUGUGAAAGUUUGCGGCUCAACCGUAAAAUUGCAGUUGAAACUGGCAGUCUUGAGUACAGUAGAGGUGAGCGGAAUUCGUGGUGUAGCGGUGAAAUGCUUAGAUAUCACGAAGAACUCCGAUUGCGAAGGCAGUUCACUGGACUGCAACUGACACUGAGGCUCGAAAGUGUGGGUAUCAAACAGGAUUAGAUACCCCAGUAGUC